AACAUAAAUAGGAUUCCCUCAGUAAUGGCGAAUGAACAGGGAAGAGCUCAGAAUGAAAAUCGGGGCUCAUGGCCUUGAAUUGUAGUCUUGAGACGUGCUGCCAGCGGAGGCGCAGAUGUAAGCCUCUUGGAAAAGAGCAUCAAUGAGGGUGAGAGUCCCGUUUGUCAUCUGCAGCCCCCCGUGUACGGUGCAUGUUCUGAGAGUCACGUUCCUCGGGAUUGGAGCGCAAAUUGGGUGGUAAAUUUCAUCUCAAGCUAAAUAUUGGUUCGAGACCGAUAGCAAACAAGUACCAUGAGGGAAAGGUGAAAAGGACUUUGAAAAGAGAGUUAAAAGUGCCUGAAAUUGCUGAAAGGGAAGCGAAUGGAACCAGCUUUGCCUGGCGAGAUUGUUGCUUGCUAUAGUUACGGUUGGCCUGGUCAACGCAAGUGUCCUGGCUGGCUCUCGACUUGAUGCAUGCGGUGGUUCUUGCCUUGUCUGUCAGCGCUGGCGUACACCUGAUGAAGACUGCAGGGUCAAGGUAUCUCGUCUCCGGGUGAGUGAACGUCCUUGUUGGAAGUCACGUGUAUGCUGGAUAUGGCGUGCCUCUUUUGGCGAGCCACAAAAUCGAUGACUAAAUGGUUCUAUCCGACCCGUCUUGAAACACGGACCAAGGAGUCUAGCAUAUGUGCAAGUUCACGGGUGUUAAACCUGUUUGCGUAAUGAAAGUGACUGCUGGGAUUCCUGCACCAGCAACCGACCAAUCAAUUGAGAGAGGUUUGAGUAUGAGCAUAUCUGUUAGGACCCGAAAGAUGGUGAACUAUGCCUGAGAAGGGCAAACUCAGGGGAAACUCUGAUGG
rnacentral:rRNA from 1 species